rnacentral:rRNA from 1 species
AUUGAACGCUGGCGGCAGGCCUAACACAUGCAAGUCGAGCGGAUGAAGGGAGCUUGCUCCUGGAUUCAGCGGCGGACGGGUGAGUAAUGCCUAGGAAUCUGCCUGGUAGUGGGGGAUAACGUCCGGAAACGGGCGCUAAUACCGCAUACGUCCUGAGGGAGAAAGUGGGGGAUCUUCGGACCUCACGCUAUCAGAUGAGCCUAGGUCGGAUUAGCUAGUUGGUGGGGUAAAGGCCUACCAAGGCGACGAUCCGUAACUGGUCCGAGAGGAUGAUCAGUCACACUGGGACUGAGACACGGUCCAGACUCCUACGGGAGGCAGCAGUGGGGAAUAUUGGACAAUGGGCGAAAGCCUGAUCCAGCCAUGCCGCGUGUGUGAAGAAGGUCUUCGGAUUGUAAAGCACUUUAAGUUGGGAGGAAGGGCAGUAAGUUAAUACCUUGCUGUUUUGACGUUACCAACAGAAUAAGCACCGGCUAACUUCGUG